rnacentral:rRNA from 1 species
CCUACGGGAGGCAGCAGUGAGGAAUAUUGGUCAAUGGGCGCGAGCCUGAACCAGCCAAGUAGCGUGAAGGAUGACGGCCCUAUGGGUUGUAAACUUCUUUUAUAUGGGAAUAAAGUUUGGUAUGCAUACCAUUUUGUAUGUACCAUAUGAAUAAGGAUCGGCUAACUCCGUGCCAGCAGCCGCGGUAAU